GAUGAAGAACGCAGUGAAAUGCGAUAAUUAAUGUGAAUUGCAGAAUUCCGUGAAUCAUCGAGUCUUUGAACGCACAUUGCGCCUCAUGGCAUUCCGUGAGGCAUGCCCAUCUCAGCGUUAGAAAAUAUUCUCAAAUUUUAGUUUUGUGCUAAAAUUUGGAUCAUGUCAAAGAAGCUAUUACUAUUAUUGUGAUCGCUCUUUGGAAAUUGAUAGGUCUUUGAGUUGCUACUCAUAGAACGUGAUGAAUCUUUCUUCGUUCUAUUGUAAUUCACUCUGGUAGUCCUAAAACUUGUAUGCCUGUGGCAUAUCUUGUAAUUUGACCUGAGAUUGGGUAGGGAUACCCGCUGAACUUAAGCAUAUCAAUAAGCGGAGGA
rnacentral:misc_RNA from 1 species